UAUAUAUAUAUAUAGAGCUAGGCUACUAUACUAUCGGUAGCACGGAGCACUCCGUGCUACCAAGUUGUUUUCGAUGAUGUGGCUUCCAAAUCGACGAUCGGCUCCGUUAGAGUUGAUCUACACUAUUGAAAGUAUUUAGAAACUAAAUUUCAUAAUUUUUCGAUAUCAUUUACCUAUCAAACAAGUAGUCUAAAAUUGAACGGCUGAAAAUAAAAAUCUCAUAAAAAAUGAUGAUAAAAGAUUUAAAUUCAAGAUCAGAUAUACUGAUCUUAUUCUAAAUAGUGAAAAGAAUUUUCUAUAAAAUUUUCAUCGCAUUUGGAUUGUUUUACACCGUUAAACUCACAAACACACCACAUCGGCCAUUAAAAUUGUCAAUUUUGAGAUCUUUUGAUCACUAGUCAAAUGAUGUCGAAAAAAUUUGAAAUUUAGUUUUCAAAUACUUUCAAUAGUGUAGAUCAAGUCUAACGGAGCCGAUCGUCGAUUUGGAAGCCGCAUCAUCGAAAACAACUUGGUAGCACAGAGCGCUCCGUGCUACCGAUAGCAUAGUAGCCGGACUAUAUAUAUAUAGUCCGGCUACUAUACUCUUAUAAGUACGAUCGACUUCGUACUCAUAAGUUGUUUUCGAUGAUAGAGCUUUCGAAUCGACGAUCCAUACCGUUAAAUAUUAUCUAGAGCAUUUAAAACUUCUAGAAAUUAAAUUUUAUAAUUUUUUGAUAUCAUUUACCCUAAGAUCAAAAGCUCACAAAAUUGACAAUUUUUAACGGCCGGUAUGAAAUAUUUGCUAGUUUAACGGUGUAAAAGAAUCAGAAUAGGUUGAAUUUUUGAUAGAAAAUUCUAUUCACUACCUAAAUAAAGAUCAAUAACUCCGAUCUUAAAUUGAAAGAUCCGAUCAUCCAUUUUUAGGAUGUCGUUCGAUUUUGACCGUUCAUUUUAUACCCGCUUAAUUAACUUUACAAUGAUUUCGAAAAAUUAGGAAAUUUAUUUUUCAGAAGUUUCAAAUACUCUAGAUCAUGUUUAACGGUGUGGAUCGUCGAUUCGAAAACCCUAACAUCGAAAACAACUUAUGAGUACGAAAGGCUCUAUACUCAUAAUAAUAUAGUAGCCCUACUAUAUAUAUAUAUAUAUAUAUAUAUAUAUAUAUAUAUAUAUAUAUAGUUCGGCUGGGAUACUAUCGAUAGCACCAAGGAUUUGGUGCUAUCGAGUUUUCCACCGUUAAAUUUAACCCUUUGAUUAUUUUUACCCGUUAGAUUAUACUUUUCAACCAACUACUUACUCAACCCUAGGGGGCCCACAUCAUCCUAACCACAUCAUCCUAACCACACCCUAGAGCCUUUCGUACUCAUAAGUUGUUUUCGAUGUUAGGGUUUUCGAAUCAACGAUUCACACCGUUAAACAUGAUCUAGAGUAUUUAAAAACUUCUAGAAAAUAAAUUUCGUAAUUUUUCGAAAUCAUUAUAAAGUCCAUCAAGCGGGUAUAAAGUGAACGGUCAAAAUUGAACGACAUCCUAAAAAUGAAUGAUCGGAUCCUUCAAUCUAAGAUCGGAGUUAUUGAUCUUUAUUUAGGUAGUGAAUAGAAUUUUCUAUCAAAAAAUCAACCUAUUCUGAUUCUUUUACACCGCUAAACUAGCAAAUAUUUCAUACCGGUCGUUAAAAAUUGUCAAUUUUGUGAGCUUUUGAUCUUAGGGUAAAUGAUAUCGAAAAAUUAUAAAAUUUAAUUUCUAGAAGUUUUAAAUGCUCUAGAUAAUGUUUAACGGUAUGGAUCGUCGAUUCGGAAGCUCUAUCAUCGAAAACAACUUAUGAGUACGAAGUCGAUCGUACUCAUAAGAGUAUAGUAGCCGGACUCUAGAGAGAGAGAGAGAGAGAGUUUGACUAUUAUAUUUAAUUUUAUGAGUAUGAUCGUCUUCGUACUCACAUGUCGUUUUUUAUUAUAAAAUUUUCGAAUCGACAAUCAAUACCGUUAAACUUAAUUAAACGUAUUUGAAAUUUUUAAAAAUUAAAUUUCAUAAUUAAAAAUAACUUACAAAUACAAUAAACUCUAUACUCAUAAGAGUAUAUAUAAUAGCCCUACUCUAUAUUCAAUUAUAUAUAUAUAUAUAUAUAUAUAUAUAUAUAUAUAUCCAACUAAUGAACAAGAAGCAAAAUAAAGUUGUAACACUAAUAAUAUAUAAUAUUUUAUCAAAGUUGGUUGGAGAAAAAGUACAGAAACAAAUCCAACUGAUCAAGUGAAGUUGCAGCCGGCUCCAUCAUCGCCAGUUUGGAGAACCAGACAGGCCACCACUAAAUAGAACCUUCUUUCCGGUCUGGUGCUGACGUGGCACAAUAAAGACACACCCAUCCAGAGUGUGAAAUUAGAGGAAUUUUACAUUGUUGCACCACGUCAUCAAUAACAAGUCAAUCAUAUUUCUUCUUUUCAAAUAAAAAUAUAAUAAAAAUAUUUUUUUAUAAUCAUGAUGGGAUAUAUACUCUUAAAAAGAGACAUUUGAUUGGUUUGUUACGCCACGUCACCAAUAUACCCGUUAUAUUUUAGAAUUUUUCGUGAAAUUGAGGGAGGGGAAAUUGGA
rnacentral:lncRNA from 1 species